AUACGUAGGGGGCAAGCGUUAUCCGGAUUUACUGGGUGUAAAGGGAGCGUAGACGGAGCUGCAAGUCUGAUGUGAAAGGCUGGGGCUUAACCCCAGGACUGCAUUGGAAACUGUAGAUCUUCGAGUGCCGGAGAGGUAAGCGGAAUUCCUAGUGUAGCGGUGAAAUGCGUAGAUAUUAGGAGGAACACCAGUGGCGAAGGCGGCUUACUGGACGGUAACUGACGUUGAGGCUCGAAAGCGUGGGGAGC
rnacentral:rRNA from 1 species